UCCGAGUUGACCCCGGCAGUCUCCUGCGAGUCCCCGGCCUUACCCGCUGGCAACACAGGACAAGGGUUGCGCUCGUUGCGGGACUUAACCCAACAUCUCACGACACGAGCUGACGACAGCCAUGCACCACCUGUCACCGGCCCCGAAGGACCCCGUAUCUCUACGAGUUUUCCGGCGAUGUCAAACCCAGGUAAGGUUCUUCGCGUUGCAUCGAAUUAAAGAACAUGCUCCGCUGCUUGUGCGGGCCCCCGUCAAUUCUUUUGAGUUUUAGCCUUGCGGCCGUACUCCCCAGGCGGAACACUUAUCGCGUUGGCUGCGGCACAGAGGGAUUCGACUCCCCCCACACCUAGUGUUCAUCGUUUACGGCGUGGACUAC
rnacentral:misc_RNA from 1 species